rnacentral:rRNA from 1 species
GAUGAACGCUGGCGGCGUGCCUAAUACAUGCAAGUCGAGCGAACAGACGAGGAGCUUGCUCCUCUGACGUUAGCGGCGGACGGGUGAGUAACACGUGGAUAACCUACCUAUAAGACUGGGAUAACUUCGGGAAACCGGAGCUAAUACCGGAUAAUAUAUUGAACCGCAUGGUUCAAUAGUGAAAGACGGUUUUGCUGUCACUUAUAGAUGGAUCCGCGCCGCAUUAGCUAGUUGGUAAGGUAACGGCUUACCAAGGCAACGAUGCGUAGCCGACCUGAGAGGUUGAUCGGCCACACGGGAAAUGAGACACGGUCCAGACUCCGAAGGGAGGCAGCAGUAGGGAAUCUUCCGCAAUGGGCGAAAGCCUGACGGAGCAACGCCGCGUGAGUGAUGAAGGUCUUCGGAUCGUAAAACUCUGUUAUUAGGGAAGAACAAAUGUGUAAGUAACUAUGCACGUCUUGACGGUACCGAAUCAGAAAGCCACGGCUAACUACGU